rnacentral:lncRNA from 1 species
UACUUCAUUUUUUCUAAAUUUCUUAAAAGGUUUAGAUUUUUUUUUAAAUGUAGAGGAAUAAAAUUUACUGCGGAAAAAAAAACAACGAAAUAAAAAAAUAUUCCAAGAAAUGAUGGAGCCUUUAUAGGAAACGAAAUGACAAUUUUUCACAUGGCUAUAAAUGCACUUGGAAGAAAUUUCUUCCAACCAUUAUCACUGACAAUAAUUUAGUACACUGAGCCAAAAAAA